UCAAAUUAUUAAGUGCAUAUAGUGGAUGCCUAGGCGGUAGAAGGCGAUGAAGGACGUAGUAGUCUGCGAUAAGCUUCGGUAAGCUGACAAACAAGCUCUGACCCGGAGAUUUCCGAAUGGGGAAACCCGACCUUUAGGUCAUUUAUAUCUGAAUACAUAGGAUAUAAAAGCGAACCCAGGGAACUGAAACAUCUAAGUACCUGGAGGAAAAGAAAUCAACCGAGAUUCUCUUAGUAGCGGCGAGCGAACGGGGAACAGCCCUAAACCCUUUUUUUAUUUAGUUGAACAUUCUGGGAAGUUUGGCCAUAGUGGGUGAUAGCCCCUUAAACGAAAAAUAAAUUAAGGUUAUUCGAGUAGGACGGGACACGUGAAAUCUUGUCUGAACAUGGGGGGACCACCCUCCAAGGCUAAAUACUCUCUACCGACCGAUAGUGAACUAGUACCGUGAGGGAAAGGUGAAAAGUCCCCCGGCGAGGGGAGUGAAAUAGUACCUGAAACUAUAUGCAUACAAGCAGUGGGAGCUUAAUUUAUUAAGUGACCGCGUACCUUUUGUAUAAUGGGUCAGCGACUUACUUUCAGUGGCAAGCUUAACUUUUAGAGGGAGGCGCAGGGAAACCGAGUCUUAAAUGGGCGUUUAGUCUUUGGAAGUAGACCCGAAACCGGGCGAUCUAUCCAUGGCCAGAGUGAAGGUCGGGUAACACCGACUGGAGGCUCGAACCCACUUAUGUUGAAAAAUGAGGGGAUGAGCUGUGGAUCGGAGUGAAAGGCUAAUCAAGCUCGGAGAUAGCUGGUUCUCCUCGAAAUCUAUUUAGGUAGAGCGUCAUGUCUUACUCUUGGGGGUAGAGCACUGUUAUGGCUAGGGGGUCAUCCCGACUUACCAAACCAUUGCAAACUCCGAAUACCAAGAAGUACAAUCAUGGCAGACACACGGCGGGUGCUAACGUCCGUCGUGGAAAGGGAAACAACCCAGACCGUCAGCUAAGGUCCCAAAAUUAUAACUAAGUGGGAAACGAUGUGGAAAGGUCCAAACAGCCAGGAGGUUGGCUUAGAAGCAGCCACCCUUUAAAGAAAGCGUAAUAGCUCACUGGUCGAAUCGGUCCGCGCGGAAGAUUUAACGGGGCUAAGUUAUAUACCGAAGCUACGGAUGCAAUUUAUUGCAUGGUAGAGGAGCGUUCUGUAAGUCUGUGAAGGUGAGUUGUAAAGCUUGCUGGAGAUAUCAGAAGUGCGAAUGCUGACAUAAGUAACGAUAAUGCGGGUGAAAAACCCGCACGCCGAAAACCCAAGGUUUCCUGCGCAACGCUAAUCGGCGCAGGGUUAGUCGGUACCUAAGGCGAGGCCGAAAGGCGUAGUCGAUGGAUAACAGGUUAAUAUUCCUGUACUUUUUAAUACUGCGAUGUGGGGACGGAGAAGGCUAAACUAGCCAGGUGUUGGAUAUCCUGGUUUAAGCGUGUAGGGAGUGUUUCUAGGCAAAUCCGGAAACAUAAUUCUGAGACGUGAUGACGAACACUCUAGGGUGUGAAGUAGUUGAUGCCAUGCUUCCAGGAAAAGCCACUAAGCUUCAGGUAUUAAAAAGCCGUACUCUAAACGGACACACGUGGGUGGGGUGAGAAUCCUAAGGCGCUUGAGAGAACUCUGGUGAAGGAACUAGGCAAAAUGGCACCGUAACUUCGGGAGAAGGUGCGCCCUUAAUGGUGAUUAGACUUGCUCUAUGAGCUUAUAAGGGUCGCAGUGACCUGGUGGCUGCAACUGUUUACUAAAAACAUAGCACUCUGCUAACACGUAAGUGGAUGUAUAGGGUGUGACGCCUGCCCGGUGCCGGAAGGUUAAUUGAUGGGGUUAGUCCUUGGACGAAGCUCUUGAUCGAAGCCCCGGUAAACGGCGGCCGUAACUAUAACGGUCCUAAGGUAGCGAAAUUCCUUGUCGGGUAAGUUCCGACCUGCACGAAUGGCGUAAUGAUGGCCACACUGUCUCCACCAGAGACUCAGUGAAAUUGAAAUCGCAGUUAAGAUGCUGUGUACGCGCGGCUAGACGGAAAGACCCCGUGCACCUUUACUACAACUUUAUACUGAACUUUGAGCCUACUUGUGUAGGAUAGGUGGGAGACUUUGAAACUCAGGCGUCAGCUUGAGUGGAGUCGUCCUUGAAAUACCACCCUAGUAUGUUUGGGGUUCUAACCUCGACCCAUUAUCUGGGUUAGGGACCGUGUAUGGUGGGUAGUUUGACUGGGGCGGUCUCCUCCCAAAGAGUAACGGAGGAGCGCGAAGGUACCCUAAGUAUGGUCGGAAAUCAUACGCUUAGUGCAAUGGCAAAAGGGUGCUUGACUGCGAGACAGACACGUCAAGCAGGUAGGAAACUAGGUCAUAGUGAUCCGGUGGUUCUGAGUGGAAGGGCCAUCGCUCAACGGAUAAAAGGUACGCCGGGGAUAACAGGCUGAUACUCUCCAAGAGUCCAUAUCGACGAGAGUGUUUGGCACCUCGAUGUCGGCUCAUCACAUCCUGGGGCUGAAGCAGGUCCCAAGGGUAUGGCUGUUCGCCAUUUAAAGUGGUACGCGAGCUGGGUUUAGAACGUCGUGAGACAGUUCGGUCCCUAUCUACCGUGCGCGUUUGAGAAUUGAAAGGGAUCUGCUCCUAGUACGAGAGGACCGGAGUGGACGUACCCCUGGUGUUCCGGUUGUUACGCCAGUAGCAUUGCCGGGUAGCUAUGUACGGAAGGGAUAACCGCUGAAAGCAUCUAAGCGGGAAGCCUACCCUGAGAUUAGUUCUCACUGGAUCCUUGAGAUCCCUAAAGGACCCUAGAAGACUACUAGGUUGAUAGGCUGGGUGUUGAAGCGUGGUAACAUGUGAAGCUAACCAGUACUAAUUGUCCGUGAGGUUUGACU
rnacentral:rRNA from 1 species